UCCUCCGUGGCGCAAUUGGCUAGCGCGUCUGACUGUUACCAUCUGGUAGUAAUCAGGAGGUUAUAAGUUCGAGCCUUAUCGGGGGAG
rnacentral:tRNA from 1 species